UCUCUUUCUGACUGCAUGUCUGCCUGGGCUCUGCCCCAGGGCCUGGCAGACUUUUCCUUUUCCUGCAGACUGUCAAUCUUUUAGGCUUGAUGGCCACAUACAGUUCCUGUUGCAAAUAUUCAAUGCUGUCGUUGAAUGAAAGCAGCCAUGCGUGCAUGCGUGCAAAGUCAUACGUGACUUCAGUCGUGUCUGACCCUGUGCGACCCUACAGGCUGUAGCCCGCCACGUCCUCUGUCCGUGGGAUUUCCCAGGUAAGAAUACUGGAGUGGGUUGCCAUUCCCUUCUCCAGGGUAUCUUCCCAACCCAGGGAUCCCCAACCCAGGGAUUGAACCCACAUCUCUUAUGUCUCCAGCAUCGGCAGGUGGGUUCUUUACCACUAGCGCCACCUGGGAAGCCCGGAACACAGCCGUAAACAGUACUCAAAUGAAUGAGCCUGGCUGUGUUCCAAUAAAACUUUAUUUACAAGAGCAAUCCAUGGGCCAGAGUCAGCCCACUGGUUGGAGUUUGCUGGUCCGUGGUCUAGACUCCAAGUUCCUUAAAGGCAAAGGCCUGGUUAUAUUUCAGCCAUCCAUCUCUAAGUCUCCCUCCAAGCUUGGCUGAGACGGAGGGAAAUCUCAGCAGAUGAUAGCUGGCUCUGACUCGCUCUCUCCAUCUGCCCUUUCAAUUUCUUUCCCUCUAUCUCCCUCGAACCACUGCAGUGUCACCAGGUCUCAGCUUUUCAGAAUCCCAGGGCAAUCAGGCAAGGAAAAGAACCUCUCGCUCUGGCAAUCAGCUAAUUGAAGUCACUCUUACAGGGCACUCAGCCAGAGAAGGAAGCCUUGCAGUUAAUUCAUCCUGUCUCUCAAGGCUUAACCCAACCUGGGAGAAGCAUUAAAUAGAGGGGCCAAGGAAGCAUCAGGGAGAGGCCACGCUGCUGCUGUAGCCAUGCUUCUGCUCAGGCAUCCACAGCCCUGAGCCAGGUUUUCCUCUUCUGCCAUUCAUCCACACACUACUGCGAUAUUUCCUGAGCCCCAGGAUGCACUAGGCCCAGAGGGCGCAGCAAAUGGUCUAACUGGAGAGACAGAAACUAACACUGGCACCGUCGCUGGCACAUGGAAAAUAGCCCGCAAAUUGUUACUGUGCAAAUGACCAGUUGAACAAGUGUUGGGGAUAAGGCUUGAUUCUUCCAGCAGCAAACAGGCACAUUGUCCCAAGGAUAAGCACUCUGGGAUGGAGGCCUUUGGAGGAGAAACUGUGACCUCUUGGCAGAGGGAAGCCCAACCGGUUGGCAGGACUGCUGUCGCCAAAAUGAAAGGUGUGAACAAAGACUCCGAUUUAAAAAUGGGCAGAGGAUCUGAACACACAGUCUUCCAAAGAAGACUUAUCGAUGGCCAACAGGUACGGGAAAGAUGCUCACCAUCGCUCAUCAUCAGGAAAAUGCAAAUCAAAGCCAGGACGGAGUGGCUAUCGCCCAAAAGACAAGAAACUGCAAGUGUUGGUGAGGAAGGGCAUAGAGAAAAGGGAAGCCUCGGGAGCUACUGGCGGGCGUGUGAUUUGAUGCAACGUCCUUGGAAAACAGGGUGGAGGCCCUCAAACAAUAAAAACUACCCAGGAAUACAGCAACUCCACAUUCGGAAUGGAAUAUUACUCAGCCGUAAGAAGAAGGAAAUCUUGGACUUCCCUGGUGGUCCUGUGGAUAGGAGUCCACCUGCCAAUGCAGGGGACGCAGGUUCAAUCCCUGGUCCAGGAAGACCCUACUUGCCUGGGGACAACUCAGCCCGUGUGCUUAGCGCCUGUGCGCCACAGCCAGAGAAACCACCCCUCCGAGAAGCCCACGUACUGCGUCUAAGAGUCGCCUAUGCUUGCCACAACUAGAGGACGCCCACACAAUAGCGAGGAAGACCCAGAGCGGCCAAAAUAUAAAUAUAUACAUUUUAAAAAGAAAGAAGUCCUGCCAUGUACCACUGCGUGUAUGGACCUCGAGGGCACUGUGCUAAGUGAAAUAAUCCAGAGAAAGGCAAAUACUGUGUGAUCUCACUUAUAUGUGGAGUCUAAACACACAAAACUGAGCUCGUGGAUACAGAGAAGAAAUCAAUGGUUUCCAGAGGUGGGGGUGUUGAGAGGUGUGAGACAUGAGCAAAGGGCAUCAAAAGGUACAAAUCUCCAUUGUGUACACUAAGAAAGUCGUGGGAUGUAAGGUGUGGUGACGCAUAGUUAGUAACCCUGUGUUGCAUAUUUGACAGUUGCUAGGAGAGUAAGUGUUAGAAGCUCUCAUCACAAGAAAAGAAUUGUAACUGGCGAUGAAAGUUCACUAGACUUACUGCAGUGAUCAUUUCACAAUACAUACAAAUAUUGAAUCAUUAUGUUGUACGCCUGAAACGGAGGCGGGAGGUGGAUGGGCCCCGCAGGGCCAAAGCACUUGGAGAUUUCAUUCCCUGUAUCGAUCCCUCAGAUCGAUACUCUGAGACAAGGAUAGCAAGACAGUCAGAGGAGGAGGCUGGGCCCUGCCUGGACAGAAGAUAGGAGACCACAUACAUUUCGUUCUCGGAGUCAGGAGAAAGAGACUACACUCUCAUUCCCCAGCUACACCUGCACAGAAAGGUCCCGAGGAGGUCAAAAGGGGAGUGAUGCUAAGUCUACCUACCCACACGUCCCUUUGGUGGAAUCCGUCUUGGCUGAGAGGCAUGCAGGCACAUGUGAGAGGAUCCUGAGAUGAACCAAACAUGGGCUCAGAGCCAGGCAAGGCCAGAUAAUUGGCCAAAGAAAACCUGGAAAAAUGCUUCAUAUAAGUGACUCAGAGUACCUCCAUGAGGGUGCGACUCUCUGAGUUCACUCGUGUGUCCAGCCGCACGUAUUCUUUUUCCUGCUAAUAAAUACCUGACUUUUUUCACUCCUUUCUGUCUUUGUGGGAUUUUUCCUGCAAAGCUGAGGGGCCAGGGCCUUUAUACUGACCUCUAUAGUUUGUUUUUGCUUGUACACGGGCUGAGUCAUGUCCAACUCUUUGCGUCCCCGUGGACUGUAGCCCGCCAGGCUUCUCUGUCCAUGGGAUUCUCCAGGCAAGAAUCCUGGAGUGGGAUGCUCUGCCCUCCUCCAGGGGAUCUUCCCAACACAGGGAUCUAACCCGCGUCUCUUGUGUUUCCUGCACUGGCAAGUGGGUUCUUUACCACUAUCGCCCCCUGGGAAGCCCCACCGAUCUAGUGACUAGGAUUUGAUGCUGUCACUGCUGAGACCCAGCCUCAGUCUCUGGGCUGGGAACCAAACCCCUGCUUCAAGCUGCUGCAGGCGAGGCCACCAGAGUUCAAAGCGAAUACAGUGUUAUGCGUCAGUAAUAUUGCCGAUGGGGGUGGGGGAGGAAGGAAGAAAGGCAGGUAUUGAAAAAUGCAGACUUGUCCGCAGGGAGCCCUGCCCAAGGGUCUGCCCCAGAGCCAGAGUCUGUGACAAGUGUCUGGGGCAGGAGUGACCUCAGAGAUGGGGACAUGGAGAGAGCCAGUGGGGGCGCUGUCAGGAGCUUGCCACCAUGAUGUCAAGUC
ensembl:lncRNA